rnacentral:misc_RNA from 1 species
GAAAUGCGAUAAUUAAUGUGAAUUGCAGAAUUCAGUGAAUCAUCGAGUCUUUGAACGCACAUUGCGCCCCCUGGUAUUCCGGGGGGCAUGCCUGUCCGAGCGCCAUUGCUGCCCUCAAGCACGGCUUGUGUGUUGGGCUUCCGUCCCUGGCAACGGGGACGGGCCCAAAAGGCAGUGGCGGCACCAUGUCUGGUCCUCGAGCGUAUGGGGCUUUGUCACCCGCUCCCGUAGGUCCAGCUGGCAGCUAGCCUCGCAACCAAUCUUUUUAACCAGGUUGACCUCGGAUCAGGUAGGGAUACCCGCUGAACUUAAGC